UGCACUUCUCCCCUAGUAGGACGUCGCGACCUGUUGGGUGUCGGUCUACGGCCCAAGUGAUAGUCUUUAAUGUAAUUUAAAAAAUAUUGAAGAUCCUUGGUGUUUUCUGACCGGCUACUUGGCAGUAUUCGUACGGUAUUUAGCCGCUAAAUUUAAUUAAGCGUCCAUAUCCGUCGCAAGCGAGGUUAAUUUACUGAUAGUACGGACCUAGUGCCGUCGUUGGUAUUAGCCAGCUGUUGGUUGUACGGUAUUCUAGGACUGGCUAAAAUUAAUUACCGGUCGGCGAUGCUACUGCUUUGGGUACUUUCAGGACCCGUCUUGAAACACGGACCAAGGAGUCUAACAUGUGCGCAAGUCAUUGGGAUUUUUUUAAAAUUAAACCUAAAGGCGCAAUGAAAGUAAAGGUCGACCUUGCGUCAACCGAGGGAGGAUGAGUUAUAUUAAGAUAUAGCUCCGCACUCCCGGGGCGUCUCAUUCUUAUUAAAAGAAGAGGCGCACCUAG
rnacentral:rRNA from 1 species